GGGCUUCAAAACCGGACCGAUCCCCUCUAUAUCUUGGGAGCCGGUCGCGAGGCCGGCUAUGGCGAUAAACGAUCUUCGCAAUAAACCGAUCGGACCCGGGGGCGGUACCCGGCGCCUCCACCUGAGCCCAGGACCGAUGGCCGCAAGGCCAACGGAGUUCGACUGGUCUCAGGCGGGGGCGAAGCAGGUUCGACGACGGCGUAAGGGUUGAUCUUUCGUUCGGCAUGGUUCCGCCGUUAUCGGGCCUUUGCAAGAGUUGCCAACGACACUUUUGCUUCGGUGGCGGGGGCCGCGUAAGCGGUCUCCAAGAUCGGUCUCAAGUCCUCGCGGUUCUCGCCGCAGAGGCGGGGCAUGAAGGCGCCCGGCACCAGAAGCCGUCACU
rnacentral:tmRNA from 2 species